rnacentral:tRNA from 1 species
GGGGCUGUAGCUCAGCUGGGAGAGCGAUACGUUCGCAACGUAUAGGUCGUGGGUUCGAAUCCCAUCAGCUCCA